UACAGAGGUCUCAAGCGUUGUUCGGAUUCAUUGGGCGUAAAGGGUGCGUAGGCGGCGCGGUAAGUCGGGUGUGAAAUCUUGGAGCUUAACUCCGAAACUGCAUUCGAUACUGCCGUGCUUGAGGACUGGAGAGGAGACUGGAAUUUACGGUGUAGCGGUGAAAUGCGUAGAUAUCAGGAGGAACACCGGUGGCGAAGGCGGUUCUCUGGGCAUUACCUGACGCUGAGGAGCGAAAGUGUGGGGAGCGAACAGG
rnacentral:rRNA from 1 species